UACGUAGGGGGGCAAGCGUUUGUCCGGAUUUAUUGAGCGUAAAGAGCGUGUAGGCGGCUUCACAGGUCGCUGUGAAAACUCGAGGCUCAACCUCGAGCUGUCGGUGGAAACCGUGUGGCUAGAGUCCGGAAGAGGAGAGUGGAAUUCCCGGUGUAGCGGUGAAAUGCGCAGAUAUCGGGAAGAACACCCGUGGCGAAGGCGGCUCUCUGGGACGGUACUGACGCUGAGACGCGAAAGCGUGGGGAGCAACAGG
rnacentral:rRNA from 1 species